rnacentral:rRNA from 2 species
UAGAGUUUUKRACCUGGCUCAGGAUGAACGCUGGCGGCGUGCCUAAUACAUGCAAGUCGAGCGAACUGAUUAGAAGCUUGCUUCUAUGACGUUAGCGGCGGACGGGUGAGUAACACGUGGGCAACCUGCCUGUAAGACUGGGAUAACUUCGGGAAACCGAAGCUAAUACCGGAUAGGAUCUUCUCCUUCAUGGGAGAUGAUUGAAAGAUGGUUUCGGCUAUCACUUACAGAUGGGCCCGCGGUGCAUUAGCUAGUUGGUGAGGUAACGGCUCACCAAGGCAACGAUGCAUAGCCGACCUGAGAGGGUGAUCGGCCACACUGGGACUGAGACACGGCCCAGACUCCUACGGGAGGCAGCAGUAGGGAAUCUUCCGCAAUGGACGAAAGUCUGACGGAGCAACGCCGCGUGAGUGAUGAAGGCUUUCGGGUCGUAAAACUCUGUUGUUAGGGAAGAACAAGUACGAGAGUAACUGCUCGUACCUUGACGGUACCUACCAGAAGCACGAU